GAUGACGCUGACAGAAUGCUUAACACAUGCAAGUCAACUUGAAUUUGGUUUUUAACUUAGAUUUGGGUGGCGGACGGGUGAGUAACGCGUAAAGAACUUGCCUCACAGCUAGGGACAACAUUUAGAAAUGAAUGCUAAUACCUGAUAUUAUGAUUUUAAGGCAUCUUAGAAUUAUGAAAGCUAUAAGCACUGUGAGAGAGCUUUGCGUCCCAUUAGCUAGUUGGAGAGGUAACAGCUCACCAAGGCGAUGAUGGGUAGCCGGCCUGAGAGGGUGAACGGCCACAAGGGGACUGAGACACGGCCCUUACUCCUACGGGAGGCAGCAGUGGGGAAUAUUGGACAAUGGACCGAGAGUCUGAUCCAGCAAUUCUGUGUGCACGAUGAAGUUUUUCGGAAUGUAAAGUGCUUUCAGUUGGGAAGAAAGAAAUGACGGUACCAACAGAAGAAGUGACGGCUAAAUACGUGCCAGCAGCCGCGGUAAUACGUAUGUCACGAGCGUUAUCCGGAUUUAUUGGGCGUAAAGCGCGUCUAGGUGGUUAUGUAAGUCUGAUGUGAAAAUGCAGGGCUCAACUCUGUAUUGCGUUGGAAACUGUGUAACUAGAGUACUGGAGAGGUAAGCGGAACUACAAGUGUAGAGGUGAAAUUCGUAGAUAUUUGUAGGAAUGCGAUGGGGAAGCCAGCUUACUGGACAGAUACUGACGCUAAAGCGCGAAAGCGUGGGUAGCAAACAGG
rnacentral:rRNA from 1 species